rnacentral:rRNA from 1 species
UACGUAGGGGGCAAGCGUUGUCCGGAUUUAUUGGGCGUAAAGAGCGUGUAGGCGGCUAGGUAGGUCCGUUGUGAAAACUCGAGGCUCAACCUCGAGACGCCGAUGGAAACCAUCUGGCUAGAGUCCGGAAGAGGAGAGUGGAAUUCCUGGUGUAGCGGUGAAAUGCGCAGAUAUCAGGAAGAACACCCCGUGGCUAAGGCGGCUCUCUAGUACGGUACUGACGCUGAGACGCGAAAGCGUGGGGGAGCAAACAGG